UACAGAGGUCUCGAGCGUUGUUCGGAUUCAUUGGGCGUAAAGGGUGCGUAGGUGGCGCUGUAAGUCGGGUGUGAAAUCCUGAGGCUUAACCUCGGAACUGCAUUCGAUACUGCGGCGCUUGAGGACUGGAGAGGAGACUGGAAUUCAUGGUGUAGCAGUGAAAUGCGUAGAGAUCAGGAGGAAGACCAGUGGCGAAGGCGGGUCUCUGGACAGUUCCUGACACUGAGGCACGAAGGCCAGGGGAGCAAACGGG
rnacentral:rRNA from 1 species